CCAGCUUGCUGGGGGAUUAGUGGCGAACGGGUGAGUAACACGUGAGUAACCUGCCCUUAACUCUGGGAUAAGCCUGGGAAACUGGGUCUAAUACCGGAUAUGACUCCUCAUCGCAUGGUGGGGGGUGGAAAGCUUUUUGUGGUUUUGGAUGGACUCGCGGCCUAUCAGCUUGUUGGUGAGGUAAUGGCUCACCAAGGCGACGACGGGUAGCCGGCCUGAGAGGGUGACCGGCCACACUGGGACUGAGACACGGCCCAGACUCCUACGGGAGGCAGCAGUGGGGAAUAUUGCACAAUGGGCGCAAGCCUGAUGCAGCGACGCCGCGUGAGGGAUGACGGCCUUCGGGUUGUAAACCUCUUUCAGUAGGGAAGAAGCGAAAGUGACGGUACCUGCAGAAGAAGCGCCGGCUAACUACGUGCCAGCAGCCGCGGUAAUACGUAGGGCGCAAGCGUUAUCCGGAAUUAUUGGGCGUAAAGAGCUCGUAGGCGGUUUGUCGCGUCUGCCGUGAAAGUCCGGGGCUCAACUCCGGAUCUGCGGUGGGUACGGGCAGACUAGAGUGAUGUAGGGGAGACUGGAAUUCCUGGUGUAGCGGUGAAAUGCGCAGAUAUCAGGAGGAACACCGAUGGCGAAGGCAGGUCUCUGGGCAUUAACUGACGCUGAGGAGCGAAAGCAUGGGGAGCGAACAGGAUUAGAUACCCUGGUAGUCCAUGCCGUAAACGUUGGGCACUAGGUGUGGGGGACAUUCCACGUUUUCCGCGCCGUAGCUAACGCAUUAAGUGCCCCGCCUGGGGAGUACGGCC
rnacentral:rRNA from 1 species